rnacentral:rRNA from 1 species
UCGAGAAUAAUUCACAAUGGGGGCAACCCUGAUGGUGCAACGCCGCGUGGAGGAUGAAGGUCUUCGGAUUGUAAACUCCUGUCAUCCGGGAGUAAGACCUGGCUGUGAAUAGCAGACAGGGUUGAUAGUACCGGAAGAGGAAGGGACGGCUAACUUCGUGCCAGCAGCCGCGGUAAUACGAAGGUCCCGAGCGUUGUUCGGAAUCACUGGGCGUAAAGGGAGCGUAGGCGGCGUGGUAAGUCAGAUGUGAAAUCCCGGGGCUCAACCCCGGAACUGCAUCCGAUACUGCCGUGCUAGAGGAUUGGAGAGGUAGCUGGAAUUCUUGGUGUAGCAGUGAAAUGCGUGGAGAUCAAGAGGAACACUCGUGGCGAAAGCGAGCUACUGGACAAUAUCUGACGCUGAGGCUCGAAGGCCAGGGUAGCGAAAGG